GACGAACGCUGGCGGCGUGCUUAACACAUGCAAGUCGAACGAUGAAGCCCUUCGGGGUGGAUUAGUGGCGAACGGGUGAGUAACACGUGGGCAAUCUGCCCUUCACUCUGGGACAAGCCCUGGAAACGGGGUCUAAUACCGGAUAUCACUCUCGCAGGCAUCUGUGAGGGUCGAAAGCUCCGGCGGUGAAGGAUGAGCCCGCGGCCUAUCAGCUUGUUGGUGAGGUAACGGCUCACCAAGGCGACGACGGGUAGCCGGCCUGAGAGGGCGACCGGCCACACCGGGACUGAGACACGGCCCAGACUCCUACGGGAGGCAGCAGUGGGGAAUAUUGCACAAUGGGCGAAAGCCUGAUGCAGCGACGCCGCGUGAGGGAUGACGGCCUUCGGGUUGUAAACCUCUUUCAGCAGGGAAGAAGCGAAAGUGACGGUACCUGCAGAAGAAGCGCCGGCUAACUACGUGCCAGCAGCCGCAGUAACAC
rnacentral:rRNA from 1 species